rnacentral:lncRNA from 1 species
AAGAACACAUCUGAAUUCAAAUAUAAUCUUGAGAAUAAUUAGGAAACCCGAAUUGUAAAUGAUAACUUGUCUCCUUAAAAUGCUAGAUUAACCAGAAGGUUCAAAAUGAGAACUCUAGAAGACAACAGUAUCAAGCAUCAUUCCAAGAGUUUGAACGAUGUUAGAAGACAUCAAAUUUGACACAUGCUCUUCAAGGUGCUUCUUGGCGUCUUGUCUUCCCACAUUUGCUAUUGCAAGCUUCUCAGGGGGUAACUCGUCUUCCUCUUGGACAGCCUUGUUGUAUUUGGUAGCUAAGCUCAGCAUUUCCUACAUUUCAAAUUAAUUGAGGUCUAUUAGCAUCUAAUAUACUAGUUAUAUAGGGGCAGCUUUCAAAUCUUAAAAUCAGCAUAAGAAAAUUAAAUAAUGCAGCCAGUUUGAUUGGUCGAUGAGAUAGGCAAUAAUCCACCAAACAAGUACUUAAAUUACCUGAACAGUCUGUUCAUUAGUUUUGGAAUGUGUAUCAAAACGUCUAAGAGUCAAACCAUCAGUCCAUUUCUUCUUGUGAAGAUUAAGCAGCAUCUUCUCCUCAAGUUCAUUCUUCCUGUAAUUGAUGGCUAUGGAAUAAUAAUGCCGGUUCAACCCAUGAAUCAAUGCCUAAAGAGGGGCAUUAUAGAUAGGUCAGAACUAGUAAAAAGAACUGCAAAAUAAAUGCUUCGAUAAAAAUAGUAUAGUUGUCAUAAAAGAACAGGGUUUGAGUGACACACUUGAAUGGAUGGUUUAUUCAAAUGUCCCAGAUUGGAUGUUGUCUGCCUUGGUUCUUGUCCAAGCAUCAUUGUCUGUGGAUUGAUCAAUCUAAAAGCAUCAAUAACCACUUUUCCUUUAACACUUUGUAUUGGAUCCACAACUACAGCGACUGCUCGCUGAUUCAAAGCCUCAAAACUCUGCCAGACACAAGAGCAAUUUACUUAAAUUAACCAGCAACCUACAAAUAAGAAACCAGAGCAACUCUAACUCUUAAAGCUAGCUGGAAACUUUGAUCAUGGGUAAUUUAACUUAUAAGUUUACAAAAUAGGCAUUAGUUGGCACUGGACAGUGCAUUCCAUGACACUAAUUUCAAUUUGCAAGAAAAAAAAAAUUAUAUCAAAAUGAAGAGCUCCUUAUUUGAGGAAUCAGAGCAAGUUUCCAUAACUAAUAUUGACUUUCUAACAAAUCAGGAGGAAAUCUAAUAUUUUCAAUUAUUAAAUGAACCUCAAAUCUCUUGAAAAAUAAAAAGUACAACUACAAUGGAAAUAUCAUCAAUUGUUAAAAUUACAAUACAUUUAGCUAGCAAUUUAUGCCCCAACUUAACUUGCAAUGCGAUUUAGUCCUUAAAUUAAUCCAACUCAUUUACAGUACUCAAUCUGCUAAGCUAACAUAGAGAAUACUUUGUACGCGGUGAUCUUCCAUGGGAAAUAAGUACGCAUAAUACAGGCAUCUUCUAUAUAUACCAUAAACUAGCAAACAACCAAAGCACAUUUACAAUUUUGAUGAGAUUGAUAAUAUGUUCACAAAUAAGAAUAGUUAGAACUUAUAAUCUGAGGGUUAGUAUUAGUGUGUUGGGGAAGUUGGGAUGCUAUAUUGUUUCUCUCUUCUUUUAAUUACAUAAAGAGAUCCAUAGACCAUGGUACUGUCCACACUCCACACUACUCUUCAAAAACAGAGUAGAUCAGUAAUCAAAAGGAGUGUUCACCAAAAUAAGAAACUGUCAGAAGUUUAUUUACACCAAAAAGAUUCAUGUAAAGAUGCCAAUAAAAGUAAAGCAGUGACACUCAAACCACAUUGCUAAAAGUUAUGAAAAAUCAUUAAAAUCAAAACUAAUAGGAUCAUAAAUACUUUAAAUUGGGCAAUACUACACACAGAAACAAUACAUAAAAACAAAAAUACUACCUGCUGAGUAUUGAUGUCAACACCAGACAACCAGCAGCCAAAUCCAGGAUGUGAAUGGUACCAACCAACAACCAUCUCUGGUCUGCAACACAAUCACCAUGAAAAUAAAUAUUAAAGGAUCCAAGCAAAAACAAGAAUAAGAAAAUUACAAAAAUAAUAAAAAUAAAAUACCGUCCAGUUUGUUUGAGCAUAUCAAGCAUAUUAGUCUGAAAAACAUGAUCAACAGCUUCAACACUAACACCAGUUCCACUCUGGGGCAUAGCAAAAACAUCAACAACACGAACAGUAUAUUCAUCCACGAAUUCUCCAAGCAUCAAACCCAUAACCUCCAUGGGUACCCCAGCCCUUCCUAUUUAAUUUAAUAAAAAAAUAAAAAGAAUGAAUAAUAUGAAACCCUAAUUAUUGAAAUUGGAUAGGAUGUGAUUGAAUUAGGAUAAAAAUGGGAAGUUUACCGUGCUUAAGCAUCUUGAGAAGAGCGAGGGAAGAGAUGUAGACUUGCUCGGAGGAAUCGAGGGUUGGGGAAUCUGGAGGUGGAUGCCCUAACGUUCCACCUGCACCUGCGAACAUUCGUUGAAGUCUUUCCAUGUUGAUUCACGAAAUUUCUGUUCGGAUUUGGAAUUUGAAGGAAAUGGUUUCACUGAGAUUUGAAGGAAAUGAUUUGGAACUAUUGCUCCUUGCUUGAUGCCUACUUAACGCUUCUAUCUCUGAUUCGGAGAUCGGUGUUACGAAUUCAGAACUUUUUCUUCUUUUUUAUAAAAUACGAAUACUAAUCUUCGGCGGUAAGAAAAUUUUAGCUUCCUUUGUUAAAAAUAAAUAAAUAUAUGAUAGUUUCAAAUCAACAAAUUGAUAUACAAAUUUCUCUUAAUAUUUUUAAUAAAUUCGUACAGUUUUAAAAGAUUUUGAUUUUAAUAAUUAUAAAAUUAUAUAUUUUUAAUCAAAUUUUAAAAAAAUAGUUAAAUUUAAUAAAAUUUGAAUGAGAUAGAUUUUAAAAUUUUUGAAAUUAAACGUAAAAUUUUCUAAAAUAUGUCAUGAAAAUACAUAAAAAUUUAUCGUGAUAUUCUUUAUAUGAUUGAUAACAAAACUCAUAGUAUCAUUUUAGAAAUCUCUAACUAAAAAUAGUUUAAUAUCGUAACUUUUACAAACAUAAAUAACUAAUUUGAUAAAAAAAAAAUUUAAUUGAUUAAUUUGAUAUAUUUGUAUAAUUUAAGAACUGUACGAAGUAUUUUGCUUAAAAAACUAGCCUACAUCCAACCAAAAUUAUUUCCAAAAUAAAUAUAAUCGUUAUAAUAAAUCACAUAUCUCAAUUAAAGUUGGUUCACUUAAGGAAUUGGUCCACUUCACAUGCUGCUGAUUUAUGGAUAUUUUUUGCAUGUAAUUUAUAAAUACAUUUGUAAAUGCUCUGAAAGUUGAUUGUAGUAUUAAACUUAUUGAAAUUUAGAUUGUUUUACUAGUAUACUCAUGAAGAGAAAAUUAGUUUAUUGUUUUACUGUAGUAUUUAUUAUAAAUUGCAAAAAAAAAAAAUAUAAUUAAGGAUAAGUUAAUAAAAAAUAAUUAAUGUAGUUAUAAAGUAAAAAAUAUCUUAUAAAAAUGAAUUAAAAAAAUCUGAAGAAGUUCUUAUUUUAGGGACAAAACUAAUAAUUUCUUAAUAUUUAUAUUUAGUAUAAAAAAAUACACUCAUAAUAAAUUUUAAUAGUCAAGUCAUUAAGAAUGUAUGACUUUAAUCAACAAAUAGUUAUUUUUAGAUUUUAUUUUGUUCCCUUAAAUUUUAUUUUAUUUUAUUUUAUUUUGUUCCCUUGGACAUUUUAGUUAUAUAUAUUAGACACUUCUUUUUAGUUACAAACAUUAUACUCAUUGGUCCCUUAAGAUACAAAGAUUAGAUAAUUUGGACUAUUAAGUUAAAAACAUUAGACCUUGACAGACAUAAUCAAAGUGUCUAAUAUUUAUAAUUUAAUUUAGCAUAGGAACUUGACUCCGAAAAUGGCGGUGAACGACAGAUGGUAGAAGCUAUUAAUUCAUUUGUUCGGGGAGCCUAUAUGCAGACACUCUAACGAUGAAGUCAAAAUUUAUCAGAGAAUGAGAGACUUUUUAGGUUAGAAUUUGUGUAUACUUUUGUGACCUAAUAGGCUCUACUUAUAUAGUGAUUUUUUCUAGGUUUUUUGAAGAUUCCUUUUGUGAUCAUUAGAGAGGAGGUCUAUGAUCUUCGGAUCACCCUCUUGUGUUGAAAGUGUGCCCUUCUAAUCAGUGAAAAGUGGACUUCAUUUAGUGGUUGUGAUUGUCAUGAAGUGACUCAUAAUGGGUGCGUAGGUGAGCUAUCAUGUCUACCAUCACUGAAUUCUCACCUUGUUUAUUUAGUGGUUAUGAUUGGAGGUCCAGGUGAGUUACAAUAGUCAUCACUUUAUAUUCCAUCAUUAUAGGCAACUUGCUUUAGUUUAGAAGAUGUUAUGUGAUGCUAUCUUAUUGGUUUGGGUCAAUCCAAAUUCAUGUUGGACCUGAAUUAUAUUGGCAUGAACUCGGUCUAGAACAAGAACCAAAAAAAUUAAGGGACUAAAGUGUUUAACCAUAUAUAUUUAAGAUAUUUAAUAAACCAAAAUAAAGAGGACAAAAAAUUUAAUAGAUCAAAGUAAAAUUUAAAAUCUAAAAAAGUUUAAAAUUGCGCGAUUGAAAAAUUUGAGAUCAAAGCUGAAAGUAUUUUACAUUGCUUCUCACUUUCAAGUUUAAACUUGUUCUUACAUCCUUUGUGGAUCAUCAAAAUGAGAUAAACUGCAUAUUCUUUUCCAAUUCCUGCUUCUUGAAUUCAAACUCAUCAAUUUCAGCCAAUUGGUUUCUAUCAAGCCAUUCCAUAGUUUCUUCCACUACCUUCUCAAGCUUCUUAACUCUCUCCCUCAUUUCAUAAACAUAAUUCUCAAACAAUUUCUUUACCUUCACCUUCUUUUUCACCUCCUCAUCCGCUACCUUAUACAUCUCAGCAGCUAUCACCAUCCUCCUCAUCUCUUCAGAACUCAACCUUCCAUCCUUGUUACUAAUAGUAAUCUUCUUUUUCAGCCCUUUUGCCUUAUCUUCAGCAGUAACCUCCAAAAUACCAUCAACAUCAAAACAAACAUUAAUAUUUGGAACCCUUUUAGAGAAACCUGAAAGCUCAAAUUUCCCAAGAAAAAAGUUAUCCUCAGUAUUAGCUUCUUCUCCUUCAUACACUUUAAUCAAAACACUAUCUUGAUUACUAUGAAAGAAUGUAGAGAAAAAACUGUCCUUUUUUGUAGGGAUCAUAGUGUUCUUUGGAAUCAAAACAGACAUAACAUUAUCAGCAGUUUCAACACCAAGACUAAGAGGCAUAACAUCCAACAACAACAACUCUUUUUCUUGUCUCCUUCAUCAUUCAAUAUUGCUGCUUGAUCAGCUGCACCAUAAGCCACAGCUUCAUCGGGAUUAAUGCUUUUACAUGGCUCUUUGACUUCACCGUUGACUUUGAACAUUUCUUUCAAUAGUUGUUGAAUCUUUGGAAUUCUAGUUGACCCUCCAACAAGAACAAACUCGUCAACUUGUCUUUUACUAAUCUUUGCAUCAACCAAACACUUUUCCGCAGUCUCCAUGCACUUUUUUGAACAACUCCUUGUUAGUUUCGUCAAACAAAGCUCUAGUAACAGUGACAUGUAGAUCAAUCCCUCCACAUAGAGAAUCAAGCUAACUAAUUGUCUCAGAAGUUGAAGAAAGUAACCUCUUUGCUUUCUCACAUGCUAACCUUAACCUCCCCAAAGCUUUAGAAUUUUCACUAAUGUUCAAGUCCUUCUUGUACUUUCUCUUAAACAAUUCAACAAGACCGUUCAACAAAUUGUUAACAAAAUCAACACCACCCAAAUGAGUAUCUCCUAAUGUAGCCUUAACUUUGAAAAUUCCCUCAUCAAUGGUAACCAAAGAAACAUCAAAAGUUCCACCACCAAGAUCAAACACAAGCACAUUCUUCUCACCUUGUCUCCAUCUUUCUUGUCCAAACCAAAAGCUAUAGCAGCUGCAGUAGGCUCAUUGAUGAUCCUUAUCACAUUAAAGUCAGCAAUUUUCCCUGCAUCCUUAUAGUAGCUAGUCUUUGUGAGUUGUUGAAGUAAGCAGGAACAGUGAUAACAGCAUCAUUCACUUCAUGACCCAAAUAACUUUCAGCAACAUCAUUUAACUUAUACAACACAAUGGAAAAUAUCUCUUGAGGUGAAAUAAGUUUCUGUUGGCCUUUGUAAGUGAUAGCAAUCAUGGGUUUGUCUUUGUUUUUUGGAACAACCUUAAAAGGCUAAAACUUUAUGUCUAGUUGAACUGAUUGGUCGGAGAAUUUUCGACCAAUCAAAUGUUUGACAUAGAAAAUGGUGUUGUGAGGAUUUGUGGUUAGUUGGUUUAUGGCUGCAUCGCCUACAAACCUUUCGGUAUCGGUUAAGGCGACGCAAGAAGGAGUGAUGCGGUUUCCUUGGUCAUUUGGAAUGAUCUCAACAUGAUUGUGUUGCCAUACUGCAAUGCAGCUGUAGGUGUGCCGAGGUCAAUGCCUAUUGCUUUGUUUUUUCUUGUUGCCAUGGGAAAACUAGAGAGUUUGAGAUGAAAGAAAGAAAAAAAGAAUAAAAAUGGUGUUUUGGAUGGUGAAGAGAAAAUACUAAUGUGGAUGUAGUAAUUGGUGAAAAAGAAGUUUUUGACAUUUUUAUGUAUUUAUAGGCAUAGAAAAUGAAGUGAUGAUGAUAUGUAUUGGGAUUAUACUAUUAGAAGACUUUAUUUGAUUAAAGAUAGGGGAUGAGGAAGAUGUAUGGAAAAUACACAAUAAUUUGUCAAUUUCCAAAGAAUUUUAAUUGGGGUCCUUGAUCAAGUCUCGGAAUAAUGUACUUUGAUGCUCAUUUUAUGAAGAAUAAGAGCAUGGAGGUAAGAUCCAGUACUCUAAUCUCCACACCCUAGUUUCAAGACCGUAACUUUAAUGAAUCUGGCUUGAUUUAGACCUUGCUUGUGGUCACAACAAGACCACAUAUUCUUUGCGGAGUAUUUAAAUAUUCGACUUAAAAUGUAAUUUUAAUUCCUUUAUUUUAAAAAGUCAAUAAUUUUGAUUUAUUUUUCAGAUUUUUAAAUUAAAAAAAUGACAAUUUAAUAUAUGUUAAAUAAUGUAGCAUACAACUUUAAGAUAUAAAACAAUCUAGAUAUAUUAAUUAUUUAUAUAUCCUAAUCUAAAUUACAAAAAUAAAAAUUUCUGAUUAUGAUUUCAUAAAUGUUAAUCAUUCUAAAUCAUAGUAUUAUAUAUCAUAUUAUUUAAAAUAUGUCAAAUCAUUAUUUUUUUUUUGUUAAAAAAUUAGAAUACGAGAUCAAAAAUUGUCAUAUUUUAAAAUAAGAGGACCGAUUUCGUGAAUUGAUAAAAUAUAAGAAGACUAUAUCUACAAUUAAAUUUAAAUAUGUCUUUAUGUAAUAUUAUGUGUUUAACAUGGUAUUUUAAAACAUAGCUGACAUUUUUCGUGUGAUAAUCUAUAAAACAUAAAAUCCUGCAGUAUGAUACAAUUAAAGGAAACCUAAUAAUACCGAGGAAGACACCACAUAAACUAAGUGCUAAGUUUUACUUUCUUGACCUUUCCAGCUCGUCCAAAGAACACAUCUGUAUUCAAAUAUAGUCUGAGAAUAAUUAGGAAACCCGAGUUAUAAAUAAGAACUUGUCUCCUUAACAUGCUAGAUUAAACCAGAAGGUUCAAAAUGACAACUCUAGAAGACAACAGUAUCAAGCAUCAUUCCAAGAGUUUGAACGAUGUUAGAAGACAUCAAAUUUGAGACAUGCUCUUCGAGGUGCUUCUUGGCGUCUUGUCUUCCCACAUUUGCUAUUGCAAGCUUCUCAGGGGGUAACUCGUCUUCCUCUUGGACAGCCUUGUUGUAUUUGGUAGCUAAGCUCAGCAUUUCCUAUGUUUCACAAAUUAAAUGAGGUCCAUUAGCAUCUAAUAUACCAGUUAAAUAGGGUCGGUUUUCUAAUCUUAAAAUCAGCAUAAGAAAAUUACAUUAUGCAGCCAGUAUAAUUGAUCAAUAAGGUAGGCAAUAAUCCAC